UCGGUUUCUCUUCUUUUUCUCUUCGUCUUCUCUCCGUCGGGGCCUUCAAUUGUUUGUUCACCCAGUUCCGUUUUGGAUGAUCUAAGGCAGAGUUUGUCGAAAACUGAGUGGGUGGAGGAGAGGUUUAUCUCUCUCUCGAUUCCUCUCCCGAAACGGUUCUCUCCCUCAGUUUAUCUCUCUCUCAAUUCCUCUCUCUGGAUUCCUCUCCCGAAACGGUUCUCUCCCUCAGUUCAACCAUUUCAGCUUAUCUCUCUCUCGAUUCCUCUCCCGAAACGGUUCUCUCCCUCUCGGUCGCUCUGCUCUCCUCCGCGACGUCACCUGCGGUGGCUCUUGUCAGCGACCUCGUUGUCGUCGGCGACCUCGUUGUCGUCGGCGACCUCUCUCUCGUGCUUUCACUGUUCCGGUGAAGUCUUAUACUCAUGAGAUUGUUACGAUUUGGUAUAGAGCUCCUGAGGUUUCGGUUUGUAUUUGCUAAGUAAUGGGUAUUGAGGAGAAACCUCUUAAUCCUCUUGAUUCAAGCGAUGAUGAUUUUGCUCCUUCAUAUCAGUCGAUUUGUCUUGAAAGUCCCUGAAGAAGAUCAACACUCGUUUCAGAGGAUUCUGUUUCUGGUGAAGUAUGCUUACUGGUGAUGGUUGUUGUGUCGCGGACUGAUACUCAGGCAUAUGUCACGGACUGAUACUCAUGCAUAUGUCACUUUGUACGAGUGUGUUCUCACAGGCCACUCUCUUUUUUAUCUCACUUUUACUCUUGUGUAUUAUGUGACUUGUAUACUGUCGGAUAAGCUGGCGGAUAAGCUGGCACGUGGUGCUCGGAAUCUGCCUUCUGCUAUGGUUUAUGUUGAUUCAAUUCCCCCGAGGUGGCUAACGGGUCUGGAAUCUGCUUAAGUUACUAGCCUUUUGUUGUAAAAAAAAAGAAAGAAUCAAACAUUUCUUGUACUCUUGUGCUUUUGAAGUCACAGACUUGUAAAGAAUCAAAGUCGAUUACAUGUAAUGAAUCAAACAUGCUUGUGCCUA